UUUACUGUCUCUUACUUCCAAUCCGUGAAAUUGACCUUCCCGUGAAGAGGCGGGAAUACAACAAUAAGACGAGAAGACCCUAUGGAGCUUUAAUUAACCGACCCAAAGAGACCCAUUAAUUUAACCGACAGGAACAACAAACCUCUGUAUGGGCCGACAAUUUAGGUUGGGGUGACCUCGGAAAACAGAACAACCUCCGAGUGAUUUAAAUCAAGACUAACCAGUCGAAAGUAUUACAUCACUUAUUGAUCCAAAAGUUUGAUCAACGGAACAAGUUACCCUAGGGAUAACAGCGCAAUCCUAUUUCAGAGUCCAUAUCGACAAUAGGGUUU
rnacentral:rRNA from 1 species